CUUUUGUCUGUGUGUUCAAAACCUGUUCAGUCAGAUAUAUUUUCUUCUCAGUGAUUUUCUUAAUGGCAUCUGGAAUGUGUCUGCUGCCUCUUAGUUUUCAGAAACUGCUUCUCCCGUUAUCUUGACAUUUUUUAAGCCAAAGCCUUUUUCUAAAAUUAUGAAACCAUCCUUGCUGGCAUUAAAUUCUCCAGCUUAAGAUUCGUCGUCUUCUUUUUUCUUUGUCAUAUAAUGACUUUGCUUUUUCUCGAAUCAUGUUAGAGUCUAUAGAUAUGCCUUUCUUACAGCAAUCCUGCACCCACAUAAAGGCUGCAUUUUCAAUAUGCUAUAAAAAGGGAUUCCAUUAAAAGUGCAAGGUUUUUGUGUUUGCUGGAAUAGCUACAACAAUGGCUUCACAAAUUUUCUUUUUCAUUUUUUAUGAUGGUCCUUACACGGGAUUCCUUUAUUUUGAAAGGGUGGCCAUCUCAGCUGCAGACUUCAAUCUACGAGUUCUUCAAUAACCUGAGGGAUGUUGAUCGCAAGCUGUUGGAAGUGAAAAACCCAUCUGUAAUGAGAGAGAAUAAAGAGGAAGAAAAGAGAAAAGACUUUGAUGAUUCCUGGAUUCAGUUUUCUCCAAAGUUCGUUUCUCUCCUGCACUUUCUGUUUGUUAUUUAAGCCAAAGAGGUGUGAUGAAAAUGGGGAUAUGCAAGAAUGCUUGAGAUGCGUCCUGCAAGAGGAGUAGAUGUCCAAGUCUUUGUGCCACGUAUGUGUAGGUUGGGAAUGGCGAGGGCCAGAGGGGGAAACAGCAGUGGUCCUGGGAUGGGAGAGAAAUUUGGCACCAAAAUGCGGGGAGGAACAUGUGCAAAGGGAGCCACGGGGAAAGGCGCGCCGCAUUCAAAGAACCACAUAUAAUUCAUUCAGUGGGACUUAGGCAUUGGGAGGUGGGAUCUACGGGGUAGGAAAAAAUAAUGGGUGGAAGAUUGCUUACUAUGCACCAACACUGCUCUUAGCAUAUACAUAUAUUAGGUUCAUUUUCUCUAAUCAUAGCAACACUAUGAAACAGGCACUAUUAUGGUCCCUCUGUUUGGGAUAUUCCGAGGGGUAUGACUCAGUAACUGCAUAAAUAGAGUCAAGACAGAGGUGCAUCUGCUUUUUAAUAAGCUCCACUGUUGUGGGAUUUAAAUUAGACAGAAGUUUAUGUAAUUUCAUUUUUAAAAGCACUAUAGAAAGGGUGCAUUUGUUUAAAAAUAAAUAACAGCAAUUAUGAUGGGAAAGAUGCUUACUCUUGUUUUUCUUCUCCAUCCCUCUCUUCCACGCCCACUGCAUGGGCACCCUGCAUGAAAAAAUCCUUCCACAGUUAGACAAUGUAUC
rnacentral:lncRNA from 1 species